UACGUGGGGAGCAAGCGUUGUUCGGAUUUACUGGGCGUAAAGGGCGCGUAGGCGGUCAGCACAAGUCAGUUGUGAAAUCUCCGGGCUUAACUCGGAAAGGUCAACUGAUACUGUGCGACUAGAGUGCGGAAGGGGCAACUGGAAUUCUUGGUGUAGCGGUGAAAUGCGUAGAUAUCAAGAGGAACACCUGCGGCGAAGGCGGGUUGCUGGGCCGACACUGACGCUGAGGCGCGAAAGCCAGGGGAGCGAACGGG
rnacentral:rRNA from 1 species